rnacentral:rRNA from 1 species
ACUCCCAACCCAUGUGAACAUACCUACUGUUGCUUCGGCGGGAUUGCCCCGGGCGCCUCGUGUGCCCCGGAUCAGGCGCCCGCCUAGGAAACUUAAUUCUUGUUUUAUUUUGGAAUCUUCUGAGUAGUUUUUACAAAUAAAUAAAAACUUUCAACAACGGAUCUCUUGGUUCUGGCAUCGAUGAAGAACGCAGCGAAAUGCGAUAAGUAAUGUGAAUUGCAGAAUUCAGUGAAUCAUCGAAUCUUUGAACGCACAUUGCGCCCGCCAGUAUUCUGGCGGGCAUGCCUGUCUGAGCGUCAUUUCAACCCUCAUGCCCCUAGGGCGUGGUGUUGGGGAUCGGCCAAAGCCCGCGAGGGACGGCCGGCCCCUAAAUCUAGUGGCGGACCCGUCGUGGCCUCCUCUGCGAAGUAGUGAUAUUCCGCAUCGGAGAGCGACGAGCCCCUGCCGUUAAACCCCCAACUUUCCAAGGUUGACCUCAGAUCAGGUAGGAAUACCCGCUGAACUUAAGCAUAUCAAUAAGCGGAGGAA